UUCAUUUCUAUCAAAAAAACGUCUUACUAACCAAAAUCAAACUACAUCCAAACUUCUUCAAUAACUUCAGACAAGUCUACCGAACUUUGAGUCAAGUUUUUACCUCCCUGUCUUCUGUUUUAACCCCUUCUGUGCUGGAGGAAGACAGUGCAGGAACAUGUCCCGUCAUGUCAGAGCUGUGCUUUACAACCAGCCUGCACCAGAGCCGUGCUUCGCAGGAGGGCGGGGGUUUCGGGGCAAGACCACACUAACUUCAGCUCAACUGACCAACCACAGAGCUCUGCUGGGUGAGUCACCGCGGAAACACGGAUGCCAUUGGCUCGUCAAACUCAGUGACUGACUCCAGACUUCGAAAUUCAGCGAAUCGCCACAAUGAAUGAGAUUCCACAUGAACGCCACCAGAAGAGAUACCAAAGAAUGGAUUUUAAACACGUUGUAACGAUCUAAGACAAGUUUUCAGGCGCACACUCUUUCACAUCAAACACAGAAAUCAAUAAAAAGGAAAAAGAAAAAGCCUUUCUGGGAUUUAAGAACUUCCUCUGAGAGAUGACUUACAGUCGAGGUCACAGACUUGGCUGUGCCAGACUUUUGAAAUUGAAGCCGGAAGUCGUAAUCUCCAGGAUAGUCGCUUGUAACCGGGACAGUGGAGGCUGGGGGUGUAAUGCCGUCCUUGCUGGACAUAUCCGGGAGGUUGAAGAGGUUUUCAUCGAACUCCUCUGGAAAAGGCUGCUCAUUCAACAGCUGGAACAGAGAGAAAUAAAAGAGUCACUCUGCGUCCAUAACCGAAUAAGUUCAGACUGAGAUCAAACUGUAUGUAUGUAUAUAUGUAAAAGUAUAUGUAUGAAGCAUUCAGGGCAUUGAUAGGAGUGCUUACCAGGAGCCCCCCUGUCUGCCAUGUUUCCUGAGGGUUGUCCGUUGGCAUGGAGAUGGAGGAACUGACUCUGCAAACACAAAUAAACAGGUUAACCUGCGUCUCAGUCUCUCUCUGUCGAGGGACUACAUUUUAAAAGGUAUCACAACACAACUUACACAUUCUCCCACAGCUGUCUGAAUGAGUCCUGGCUCAGGGGCAGGGGCUGACUCAGAGUCAGGUUUUCCAGGCUCUGCUCCUCCAUCGCUCCGUUUCCAGCUGAAGCGCGGAAGAGACGAGCUGCAGGCGUGCUGGGAGGACUGUGGCGAUCAGCAGGAAGGACAAUGAGGGAGGUCAGAGGUCAACUUUGAAGCGGAGACCCUGGAGUGACAGGCUGACAGGGUGGAUUCCCCCUGUACUGGUUUGGAUAUACUUACAUGCUGAAGGACGCAAACCACAGAGGACCAGAGAUUCAGAUAUUCUCAGGUGCUUGCGGCCAGGUCAGGCCAGACAGCCUCACUGCUUGCAUCUUGUCCUGAACUGGUGGGAGUCAGAUCAAAAGACUAGGCGUUGAAUGUUGGUUAUGUCUGUCUCCCUGGGUACGUAGUGCUUGUUGGUGCCACAUUGGGGCUUGGUGGCUGUCUGACCUUUGAGUGAAUGUGGCGACGGUGCCAGUGAGUCCACUACAAACCUGAUCCCUGUGGUACUGCAUAUAGAUAAAAUACUGAGGUUUUACAGAACAGGAACGGAGGGGAAGAUAACUGGCAUGAUGAGUAACAGUUGGCUAAUAUGAUCUUAAGCACAUUUUAUAUUUCCUUGAAGAGCAUAUGAUAAGCCUAGACCAACUGGCUACAUAUUCUAAAUAAAAUGUAGGUAUA